GAGCGACUCGUGGGCGUCAAGACUGGGCUGAGUUUGUGGCGCGCUUAGUGAUGGGAGGGCGCUGUGCAGGACGCCGACACGAAAAGAUGAAGAGUUCAAUCCGUGCUGUCUGAACUCACAGUGUAGCGGGCGAGAUAGACGGGAAGAUCGGUAGGGUGGGAGAUGCCGGAAAGGCUUCCCGUGAAACUGGAUAAGAAAUCAAAAAUCUGGUGAAAUUGCCGGCAGGAGGGAGUUAAGGACAUUCCAGGCAGAGGCAAGCUAUUUGACAGACCAUAUGCUCUAUUGAACUUUGCCACUGCAUCACAACUAGACCCUGAACAGGAUGGAUUUCUGGACUUCUGAAAGUUGGUCCUUGCUGGCUGAUCCAGCUUCCCCGUCAGCAUAUGGUGAGCAGUUCGGUGAGAGGACCACACUUCCAAUACUGGCAGUCCAGAUUCCUAAGAUGAGGACACAGCAUCCUGGGCCACUGUCACUAAUACAAAUUUGCCUCUGGAGGGACUCUACGGAAGAUAAUUCCCCUGAAAUUUGGAGAGUUGAAUUAAGCUAGGACUGAUUCUGGCUGGAAUUUGUGGUGGCUACGUACCCUAGAGGGCCUCAAGGAAACCCACGGUUCAAGACAACCCUGACAGAUUCUGGAGUCUAGAACAGAAAUGGAUUUGAACAUGGGCAAGGCCAACCACCCAGUUCACGGCCUGUGUACAGCAAAGAUUACAUUACAGCCUGAGAGCUAAGCCUGGAAGCUCUUUCAUCCAUCCGUUUGUCCAUCUAUCCAUCCAUCUGCUCAUCCAUCCCUCCAUCUGCUCAACAAAUGUUAGAGAAUCAAUCCUUGUGUCAGAUACUGGGGCUGCCCUCAAGGAGCUUUUGUAGAGUUCAGGGUACAGCCAGGUGGGGGAGACAGAUCACUAUAAAAACCUACCACUAUAAUCCAAAGGACAAGAGCAAAAAUAGUAAAGAGGAGAGAAGACCCAAAUUUGCCUGGUGGGUCAGAGACGGCUUUCUAGAAGAGGUAAAAAAUCUUCGGGGCUAUCACUUCACCUUGCCUGGUGGAUAAAGGGAGGACUUUCCAGAUACAGUGGACAGAAUGUGCAGAGGCAGGAGCCAUGAGUGGCAGAGGCAGGGGAGGGACUGCAGAGACAGGUUGGAGCCAAAGCACGAUGGCACUGGAGCCAUAGCCAAAGGAACAAACUGUGAGACCUGGGACUUGAAUUUGGAGGUGGUGAAAAGUGACAAGGUCUUCACAGAAGAGUGAUUUUUUCAACUUAGGGAAGGCUGACCCCAGACCAAUGCUGCCAAAGUGUGGUCUGUGGGCUGUUAGCAGUUCAUGACGAUGUAAGUACAGGAAUUGAGAGUAAGCAUUUAGAACACCUACAGCACUGUGAUAGUCAUUUUACUUUUUAAAUUUUGAGCUGGCAUUUUGUAUGCCUGUUUUUUUUUUUUUUUUUUUUUGAGACAGUCUCGCUCUGUCGCCCAGGCUGGAGUGCAGUGGCACGAUCUCUGCUCACUGCAAGCUCCACCUCCCGGGUUCACGCCAUUCUCCUGCCUCAUCCUCCCAAGUAGCUGGGACUGCAGGCGCCUGCCACCUCGCCCAGCUAAUUUUUUGUAUUUUUAAUAGAGACGGGGUUUCACCAUGUUAGCCAGGAUGGUCUCAAUCUCCUGAUCUCGUGAUCUGCCCGCCUUGGCCUCCCAAAAUGCUGGGAUUACAGGUGUGAGCCACCACGCCCAGCCUUAUUCUAUUUUUCUAAUAGUUGCACUUUAUCAUAUUUUACAAAUGUGUGAGUCUGCUAUGGAUUAGAAAUUAAUAAGAGAUUUUGCCACAGAUAGUUUGAGAAGCCCAGCACUGCCACUCAACAAAUGCUGGUGCAUUCAGAUGGUGAAAUAUUCUGCAGCUAUUAAAGGAGUUAAAACUGCCUCCACUUACCUGGAGGCCCAUCUGUGACAUCUUUUUAGGGUAAAAGGAAAAGAAAAACUUGCUUAGGACUGAAUAUGAGUGGUUGCAAUUUGUAACAAUGAUGUAUAUAUACAUAUACAUUUUCAUAUAUUUGUAUGAACAUAAAAGUAUUGAAGGAUAUUCAUCAAACUGCUAAAAGGGUUGCUUCAGAGUAACAGACUUGGAGAAGGCAGAUUAAUUUUCUCUUAAUGGAACUCUGUAUUGUAUCACUUGUAAAAAUAAGCAUGUGUUAUCUUUAUGAUAAAAAAGUAAAAACCUAAAAAAG
rnacentral:antisense_RNA from 1 species